rnacentral:rRNA from 1 species
GACGAACCGAGUGAACGUUGUUCGGAAUAACUGGGCUUAAAGGGCGCGUAGGCGGGCCGCCAAGUUCGAGGUGAAAUCCUCCGGCUCAACCGGAGAACUGCCUCGAAUACUGGAGGCCUCGAGGCGGGUAGGGGCGUGCGGAACUGUGGGUGGAGCGGUGAAAUGCGUUGAUAUCCACAGGAACUCCGGUGGCGAAGGCGGCACGCUGGACCCGAUCUGACGCUGAGGCGCGAAAGCCAGGGGAGCAAACGGG